rnacentral:rRNA from 1 species
CCUACGGGCGGCUGCAGUGGGGAAUAUUGGACAAUGGGCGAAAGCCUGAUCCAGCCAUGCCGCGUGUGUGAAGAAGGCCUUCGGGUUGUAAAGCACUUUCAGUGGGGAAGAAAGCCUUGGGGCUAAUACCCUCGAGGAAGGACAUCACCCACAGAAGAAGCACCGGCUAACUCCGUGCCAGCAGCCGCGGUAAUACGGAGGGUGCGAGCGUUAAUCGGAAUUACUGGGCGUAAAGCGCGCGUAGGCGGUCUGAUAAGCCGGUUGUGAAAGCCCCGGGCUCAACCUGGGAACGGCAUCCGGAACUGGCAGGCUAGAGUGCAGGAGAGGAAGGUAGAAUUCCCGGUGUAGCGGUGAAAUGCGUAGAGAUCGGGAGGAAUACCAGUGGCGAAGGCGGCCUUCUGGACUGACACUGACGCUGAGGUGCGAAAGCGUGGGUAGCAAACAGGAUUAGAUACCCGAGUAGUC